AUGAACCAGACCAAAAACUCUCUUUCACCCACAAUAUUUCGGUCAAACUCUCUUCACCACCAUCAAUUUUGUCAUAAAAGUUAUCCUAUUCGAAUCAUUAAACUCAAAUUCCUUCAACAUUCUCAAUUAACUCUCAUUCAAAACUCAAUAUAUUGUGUCACAGUUCCUCUUGUCCAUACAUUGCAUUUCUCAUCCAAAAAUUCAAUAUAUUGUCUGUGUAUUUGCUAUUUCUGUGCACUUGUCUCUGUCAUAACAUCAUUGUAA